rnacentral:rRNA from 1 species
UACGUAGGGUGCAAGCGUUAUCCGGAAUUAUUGGGCGUAAAGAGCUCGUAGGCGGUUUGUCGCGUCUGCUGUGAAAACUGGAGGCUCAACCUCCAGCCUGCAGUGGGUACGGGCAGACUAGAGUGCGGUAGGGGAGAUUGGAAUUCCUGGUGUAGCGGUGGAAUGCGCAGAUAUCAGGAGGAACACCGAUGGCGAAGGCAGGUCUCUGGGCCGAUACUGACGCUGAGGAGCGAAAGCGUGGGGAGCGAACAGG